UGAUUUAUGCAUACAAAAACGAAAAAUCUCCUACAAACAAAAUUUGUGUCACCUUUAACUGUGUCUGUGUCUGUGUCUGAACAACACUAUUGCUUAAUAUCCUCGGCGUCAUCUUUUCUCCGGCAAAUCAUCGCCGUGCCCAUCUCAUUUCUGCCAUUUUGAUAUUGUUCGUAUCGGGGUAUAAAGGCUUAGUGUAUAGUACUUAAAGCUAAUGAUGCUAAUGAGAAGGCUGAGAGCAGUGUCUCGGGGUCAGUUCAAUGUUUGUAAUGUUUCGCAUAGUUACAUACCCGUGUCACGGUUGAUUGUCCCGGCAUUUAGUAGCUACCAGAAUAGGCAUGGAUACAAUAAUUUUUGGCAUUUGUUUUCAACAAUGCACGGAACUAUCUUGGUCCAGGCCAGAGAUGCUGGUAAGAUUUCUGAGGAGAUGGAGAAUGCACUCAAGGAGCAUAGGUUUAGUGAUGCGUGGGACUUGAACCAACAACACAUGCAAAUUGAAGGGUUUCCUAGGAAACAUGUUGUGAACAAUCUCUUAGAAGGGUUUGCGGAAAGUCUAGAUCGUCAAUGGAUUGAGAAGGCUUAUGGGCUGACUGAACAAGCAUUUGAGGAGCACAAGCAGAACUUGUUGCAGAAGGAUACUUUAAUGUAUCUCUCUAUAAAUCUUGCCAAGUGCGGGUUGCAUGUACCUGCAUCAACUAUUCUGAGAAAGCUUAUAGAUAUGGAACAUUUCCCCCCUGUGACUGCUUGGUGUGCUACCGUAGCUCAUAUGUCACAGUCGUCUGAUGGAGCUUACCUUGCUGCUGAAUUGGUUCUUGAGAUAGGUUACUUGUUCCAAGAUGGCAGAGUGGACCCUCGCAAAAAGAUAAAUGGACCUCUACUAGCUAUGAAACCUAAUACAACUGUAUUCAGUGUUGUUUUGGCUGGAUGUCUUUUAUUUGGCACCACUAGAAAAGCAGAACAGCUACUAGAUAUGAUGCCUAGAAUUGGUCUGAAACCAGAUAUUACCUUGCUGAUCAUCAUGGCACAUAUUUAUGAAAGGAAUGGUAGAAGAGAAGACCUUAGGAAGCUUAAGAGGCAUAUAGAUGAAUCACACAAUCUCAACGACAUCCAGUAUCGGCAAUUCUAUAAUUGUUUGCUUUCAUGCCAAUUAAAAUUUGGUGAUUUGGAUUGUGUGUCUCACAUGGUUCUGGAAAUGCUGCAGAAGGCAAAGAAAGCACAAAAUUCCAUUGGUAUUGCUAUGCUGGCGUUUGAAGCUGCUUCAAAGGGUUGUUCAAAAAUGAAUUCUAGUGUACAGGUUAUUGAAGAGGGAUUGUGUAAUGGAAAAUUUGAUCACCCAGAAAAUCCCGUUUUAUCUGAAAAUCGGAACUUAUCUUUUGAACAAUUUUAUAGGGACCACAAGUUUUUAAAACUCGAGACUCAAACUAAAGAAUUACUAGAUGUAGUGUUAGUGAAGUUGCAGAAACAAGUUGAUUUGCUUACAACUGAGCAUGGUAUCCUACGACCAACAGAAAGAACUUAUGUGAAACUGGUCAAGGCUUUCUUGGAAGCUGGCAAGACGAAGGAAUUGGCAGAAUUUUUAAUAAAGGUAGAGAAAGAGGAUUCCCCAGUUUCCGUUGAUGAUUCAGCUUUUGUUCAUGUCAUAAAUUCUUGCAUUUCGCUUGGAAGGCUAGAUCAGGCACAUGACCUACUUGAUGAAAUGCGUUUGGCUGGUGUCAGAGCUAGUUCUUCUCUUUAUGCAUCCCUUCUAAAAGCCUACUGCAAAGAAAAUCGGGCUGCAGAAGUGACAGCACUCCUACGAGAUGCACGUAAGGCUGGGAUUCAACUAGAUGCUACCUGUUACAAGACUUUAAUCGAGUCACGGGUGCUACAGGAAGAUACUCAGGGCGCGUUAAAGCUUUUCAAAGAGAUGAAAGAGUCGAAGAUACCAAGAAGUGGUCAUCCAGAAUUUGAUAUGUUAAUCAAAGGCUGUGCUGAGAGUGGUAAUGCUGGGUUGAUGGCUAAGCUAUUGCAGGAAAUAAAGGAUGGACAGAAAGUGGAUUGUGGAGUUCAUGACUGGAACAAUGUAAUUCAUUUUUUCAGCAGGAAAAGACUGAUGCAAGAUGCUGAGAAGGCUCUUAAAAAGAUGUUGAGUUUAGGGCAUGCUCCAAAUGCUCAAACUUUUCACUCUAUGGUAACAGGGUAUGCUGCUGUUGGGGGGAAAUAUGUGGAGGUUACAGAGCUUUGGGGAGAGAUGAAGGUUCUUGCAUUUUCCAGUGGAAUGAAGUUUGAUCAAGAAUUACUGGAUUCUGUACUAUAUACAUUUGUGAGAGGUGGUUUUUUUGCUCGAGCAAAUGAAGUUGUGGAAAUGAUGGAAAGAGGGAAAAUGUUCAUUGACAAGUACAAAUACCGCACCCUUUUCCUAAAAUAUCAUAAAACACUAUAUAAGGGAAAGCCUCAAAAAUUCCAGACAGAAUCUCAGUUAAGAAAGAGGGAAUCAGCAUUAACAUUUAAGAAAUGGGUGGGGUUGUCUUGAUGAAACUUAAGCACCCCCUUUGAAGGCUAAGGUUGUGAGCUAGAUGAGUUAGAAUUGGAGUAGGAGUAAAAUUAGGUUUAUAUUCUUUUUCCGUGGUAUAAUGAAGAAUCUAGACGAUAAAGAGACUCUCGAAGGCCAUCUGCUGCAAGUGCUCAUCUGUCGAGAUUUUGCGAGUGAUUUUCACUUCCCUGCAAAUUGCUUACAGGCCUCUUGGAAGUGCUGUUGAUUGGUGGACAUUUGGGAUUUUCAUGUAUGAAUUGCUGUAUGGAAAAACACCAUUCAAAGGCAAUGGAAACCGCGAGACAUUGUUAAAUGUUGUUGGCCAAUCUUCAAAAUUUCCUGAUGGUGCAUUCAGUUUUGCCGCAAAAGAUCUAAUCUGGGGUCUGCUUGUUAAGGACCCUCAUAAAAGAUUGGGGUUCAAACGAGGUGCUACAGAGAUAAAGCAACGUCCCUUCUUCGAAAGUGUUAAUUGGGCUCUCAUUCGCGGCACUACCCCUCCCGCGAUCCUUAGACCAGUUGAUCUGUCAUGCUAUAAUCAAACAUUAAAGUCAUCUUUGUAUUCUAAUAACAAGGGAGCUUCAGACUCUGAAAGGUCUUCAGGUCCCUACCUAGAUUUUGAAUUUUUCUGGAGAAAGUUUAGCAGGAGAAUUAGAGGUGUUACUCACAUCAAUUAAUGAAAAGAAUAAAAGUAGCUGAACUUUGUUGCUUGGCUGUGAUUUUAUUCUUCUUUUACAUGUCACUGUUUUAAGAUUCUUUAUCAGUGUCUGUUUGCUGUUUCUCAUUCCUUCUCACAAUUUUUUUAAGAUGUGGUCUCUUGAGCAUGAGAUUCUAGAUGGACCCUGCACUCCUCUGAUGUUAAACUAGAGAACGAGCAAAAGAAAAUUGGAGACAGACAGAUCAAGAAAAGUUCUGUGCUGGUGAGUGUGCAUUGUGAAAUAUCCUUUUACACUGAUUGAAAUUUGAAGCAUGCAGGUCAAGGUCAAAAAGGAGCUUCAUCUCAUCUGUCUUUAAUUUUGCCUUGGUAGUAACUUGUUCAAUUCAGUUGAAUCAAAUUCGCUUUAUUUGUGCACUUGAUUUUAUGCUUUCUUCCAGGCUAUGGUUCACUGCAUGCAUUCUUUUGUUUCCCUUGUGCCUCUUCCUAAUAUUAUUUGUGUUUUCUAGUUCCUUGUGCUGAUAUUGUAGCAUUCAAGGUGAUGACCAGAUUAUGUAAUUGAACCAGACCAAGUUCAAGUUCUAGAGUAGAAUGUGACUAGAUUAUGCAAUAGCUGUCUUCUUAAAAAGCGCUGUAC